GACUGAUGUUCGACAUUCCUGCAUUAAGGGACUAUGAACCUACCACUUACAGGUUUUUUUGCAGAAUUUUUGGAUUUGAGUCAACCUGAACUGAAACCUUCUUGGAACCUCUAGUGCACCGAAAAAAAAGUUAUUGUGCUAGCUCUCACAAUGACCCAUUCUAAGAAUAGAACACACAGCUGUAUCACUAGCAAUUGUGUUGUAAAAGACCAUUAUAACUCUGAAUUAUGGUAAUGCCUGACUACUUAUUAAAUGGCUGUAAUUAUUUUAAUGGGGAACUUUUUUUUUAGAAAAAAUAUAGUGAUUGAACCUUCUCUCUCUCUCCUCUCCUCCCCCCCACCACAUCAGUAUGAAACAACAAGUGAUCAGAAUUUUUCAUUAAAGUCUGUCUAUCUACCUACCUUACCGUACCUUACCUUACAUGAUAAACUUCUGUAUUUGUAUUGAGAACCAAAGCAACUAUUUAAAUCUAUUGUGGGGGAAAAAAUCUUAAGAGUGCAGAAUCUUAAUGUCCCUCUCUAGGAAAAAUGACAAAAACUAGGCAUUCUCUUUUCAGAAAGCAGAUUAAUGAAGAUAUGAUUAAGUCAUAUAAAUUACAAGCUGUACGUAGAAGAUGCCUGCUACAAAAUAUUCUUUGUCUCUGUGCUGCCUUGUUCUAGCUGCCUUCAGAACAUUAAGGGAAAAUCUUUAUAAAGAACAAUUAGGACAUAAUAAGAUAGUUGGAGCAAGCAGAUAGUGGUUGCAACCUGUAAUAUUACUGCUCACACUAGUUAUUGUAAUGACAUAAUUGCAGUUCAUCAAAAGACCUAGAGAGAUUUGACAUGAAAUAUCACUUACGCUGGCUUGUUCCACUGUCUGGUCCCCCACCUUUAACAGCUGAAGAGGCGCUCAGUCAGAAGAAGUUGGAGAGCUUGAAAAACUGUUUGGUAUGGCAUAGUGUCAAAUAGGUGAUGUAGCCAUUAGAUCUCCCCAAUAUACACAUGAUUCUGAUGGGAUGGAAUAUGAUCUCUCCUGUCUAGAACCUUAGGCUUUGGAGAAGAGAAUUUUCUCUUAGUUCUAAGAAACCUCACUUUUCCUUCGUGCAGUUUUUUUGGAGGAGAGGCACUUUCUUCAGGACUACCAGAUGAAGCACUGAUUAGAUGCUUUUUCUACAAAAGCUGUAUUCAAGACUAUAUGGUACCAAGUUUUAGAGCUGCACAUUGUGAAUAUUCAUUAACUGAAUAAAAGGACAUGCUAUUUAAAACCCUCCUUACUAGAUAUUGCAGAGGAGUUUGUUUCUAUAUGUAAAGAAGUGCACAGCUUGACUUACUUAACUUCAUCAAGUGCUCAAAAAAAAAUGUCAAAUGUUAGGUGCUCUGUACCAAAUAAUCUCUCUUCAAUCUGUAUGCAAUACGGUGUAUGUAAUAGAAAUUAUUUUUUUGGUGUGGUAUUAAAAAUGAGGUAUUCUG